rnacentral:rRNA from 2 species
GGUUAAGCGACUAAGCGUACACGGUGGAUGCCCUGGCAGUCAGAGGCGAUGAAGGACGUGCUAAUCUGCGAUAAGCGUCGGUAAGGUGAUAUGAACCGUUAUAACCGGCGAUUUCCGAAUGGGGAAACCCAGUGUGAUUCGUCACACUAUCAUUAACUGAAUCCAUAGGUUAAUGAGGCGAACCGGGGGAACUGAAACAUCUAAGUACCCCGAGGAAAAGAAAUCAACCGAGAUUCCCCCAGUAGCGGCGAGCGAACGGGGAGCAGCCCAGAGCCUGAAUCAGUGUGUGUGUUAGUGGAAGCGUCUGGAAAGGCGCGCGAUACAGGGUGACAGCCCCGUACACAAAAAUGCACAUACUGUGAGCUCGAUGAGUAGGGCGGGACACGUGGUAUCCUGUCUGAAUAUGGGGGGACCAUCCUCCAAGGCUAAAUACUCCUGACUGACCGAUAGUGAACCAGUACCGUGAGGGAAAGGCGAAAAGAACCCCGGCGAGGGGAGUGAAAAAGAACCUGAAACCGUGUACGUACAAGCAGUGGGAGCACAGAGCAAUCUGUGUGACUGCGUACCUUUUGUAUAAUGGGUCAGCGACUUAUAUUCUGUAGCAAGGUUAACCGAAUAGGGGAGCCGAAGGGAAACCGAGUCUUAACUGGGCGUUAAGUUGCAGGGUAUAGACCCGAAACCCGGUGAUCUAGCCAUGGGCAGGUUGAAGGUUGGGUAACACUAACUGGAGGACCGAACCGACUAAUGUUGAAAAAUUAGCGGAUGACUUGUGGCUGGGGGUGAAAGGCCAAUCAAACCGGGAGAUAGCUGGUUCUCCCCGAAAGCUAUUUAGGUAGCGCCUCGUGAAUUCAUCUCCGGGGGUAGAGCACUGUUUCGGCAAGGGGGUCAUCCCGACUUACCAACCCGAUGCAAACUGCGAAUACCGGAGAAUGUUAUCACGGGAGACACACGGCGGGUGCUAACGUCCGUCGUGAAGAGGGAAACAACCCAGACCGCCAGCUAAGGUCCCAAAGUCAUGGUUAAGUGGGAAACGAUGUGGGAAGGCCCAGACAGCCAGGAUGUUGGCUUAGAAGCAGCCAUCAUUUAAAGAAAGCGUAAUAGCUCACUGGUCGAGUCGGCCUGCGCGGAAGAUGUAACGGGGCUAAACCAUGCACCGAAGCUGCGGCAGCGACGCUGAUGCGUUGUUGGGUAGGGGAGCGUUCUGUAAGCCUGUGAAGGUGUACUGUGAGGUAUGCUGGAGGUAUCAGAAGUGCGAAUGCUGACAUAAGUAACGAUAAAGCGGGUGAAAAGCCCGCUCGCCGGAAGACCAAGGGUUCCUGUCCAACGUUAAUCGGGGCAGGGUGAGUCGACCCCUAAGGCGAGGCCGAAAGGCGUAGUCGAUGGGAAACAGGUUAAUAUUCCUGUACUUGGUGUUACUGCGAAGGGGGGACGGAGAAGGCUAUGUUGGCCGGGCGACGGUUGUCCCGGUUUAAGCGUGUAGGCUGGUUUUCCAGGCAAAUCCGGAAAAUCAAGGCUGAGGCGUGAUGACGAGGCACUACGGUGCUGAAGCAACAAAUGCCCUGCUUCCAGGAAAAGCCUCUAAGCAUCAGGUAACAUCAAAUCGUACCCCAAACCGACACAGGUGGUCAGGUAGAGAAUACCAAGGCGCUUGAGAGAACUCGGGUGAAGGAACUAGGCAAAAUGGUGCCGUAACUUCGGGAGAAGGCACGCUGAUAUGUAGGUGAAGCGACUUGCUCGUGGAGCUGAAAUCAGUCGAAGAUACCAGCUGGCUGCAACUGUUUAUUAAAAACACAGCACUGUGCAAACACGAAAGUGGACGUAUACGGUGUGACGCCUGCCCGGUGCCGGAAGGUUAAUUGAUGGGGUUAGCGCAAGCGAAGCUCUUGAUCGAAGCCCCGGUAAACGGCGGCCGUAACUAUAACGGUCCUAAGGUAGCGAAAUUCCUUGUCGGGUAAGUUCCGACCUGCACGAAUGGCGUAAUGAUGGCCAGGCUGUCUCCACCCGAGACUCAGUGAAAUUGAACUCGCUGUGAAGAUGCAGUGUACCCGCGGCAAGACGGAAAGACCCCGUGAACCUUUACUAUAGCUUGACACUGAACAUUGAGCCUUGAUGUGUAGGAUAGGUGGGAGGCUUUGAAGUGUGGACGCCAGUCUGCAUGGAGCCGACCUUGAAAUACCACCCUUUAAUGUUUGAUGUUCUAACGUUGACCCGUAAUCCGGGUUGCGGACAGUGUCUGGUGGGUAGUUUGACUGGGGCGGUCUCCUCCUAAAGAGUAACGGAGGAGCACGAAGGUUGGCUAAUCCUGGUCGGACAUCAGGAGGUUAGUGCAAUGGCAUAAGCCAGCUUGACUGCGAGCGUGACGGCGCGAGCAGGUGCGAAAGCAGGUCAUAGUGAUCCGGUGGUUCUGAAUGGAAGGGCCAUCGCUCAACGGAUAAAAGGUACUCCGGGGAUAACAGGCUGAUACCGCCCAAGAGUUCAUAUCGACGGCGGUGUUUGGCACCUCGAUGUCGGCUCAUCACAUCCUGGGGCUGAAGUAGGUCCCAAGGGUAUGGCUGUUCGCCAUUUAAAGUGGUACGCGAGCUGGGUUUAGAACGUCGUGAGACAGUUCGGUCCCUAUCUGCCGUGGGCGCUGGAGAACUGAGGGGGGCUGCUCCUAGUACGAGAGGACCGGAGUGGACGCAUCACUGGUGUUCGGGUUGUCAUGCCAAUGGCACUGCCCGGUAGCUAAAUGCGGAAGAGAUAAGUGCUGAAAGCAUCUAAGCACGAAACUUGCCCCGAGAUGAGUUCUCCCUGACCCUUUAAGGGUCCUGAAGGAACGUUGAAGACGACGACGUUGAUAGGCCGGGUGUGUAAGCGCAGCGAUGCGUUGAGCUAACCGGUACUAAUGAACCGUGAGGCUUAACCUU